GUUUGAUUCUGGCUCAGGAUGAACGCUGGCGGCGUGCCUAACACAUGCAAGUCGAACGGGAACAGAAUGAAACCUAGUGAUUUCUGUUUUAGUGGCGGACGGGUGAGUAACGCGUGGGUAACCUGCCUUGCACUGGGGGAUAACACUUAGAAAUAGGUGCUAAUACCGCAUAAGCGCACAAUACCGCAUGGUAGAGUGUGAAAAACUCCGGUGGUGCAAGAUGGACCCGCGUCUGAUUAGCCAGUUGGCGGGGUAACGGCCCACCAAAGCGACGAUCAGUAGCCGGCCUGAGAGGGUGAACGGCCACAUUGGGACUGAGACACGGCCCAAACUCCUACGGGAGGCAGCGGUGGGGAAUAUUGCACAAUGGGGGAAACCCUGAUGCAGCAACGCCGCGUGAGUGAAGAAGUCAUUCGUGAUGUAAAGCUCUAUCAGCAGGGAAGAAAAUGACGGUACCUGACUAAGAAGCCCCGGCUAACUACGUGCCAGCAGCCGCGGUAAUACGUAGGGGCAAGCGUUAUCCGGAUUUACUGGGUGUAAAGGGAGCGUAGACGGCGAGACAAGUCUGAAGUGAAAUGCCAGUGCUCAACACUGGAACUGCUUUGGAAACUGCCUGGCUGGAGUGCGGGAGAGGUAAGUGGAAUUCCUAGUGUAGCGGUGAAAUGCAUAGAUAUUAGGAGGAACACCAGUGGCGAAGGCGGCUUACUGGACCGUAACUGACGUUGAGGCUCGAAGGCGUGGGGAGCAAACAGGAUUAGAUACCCUGGUAGUCCACGCGGUAAACGAUGAUUACUAGGUGUCGGGGAGCUAGAGCUCUUCGGUGCCGCCGCAAACGCAAUAAGUAAUCCACCUGGGGAGUACGUUCGCAAGAAUGAAACUCAAAGGAAUUGACGGGGACCCGCACAAGCGGUGGAGCAUGUGGUUUAAUUCGAAGCAACGCGAAGAACCUUACCUGACCUUGACAUCCCGAUGACCGGACAGUAAUGUGUCCUUCCCUUCGGGGCAUUGGAGACAGGUGGUGCAUGGUUGUCGUCAGCUCGUGUCGUGAGAUGUUGGGUUAAGUCCCGCAACGAGCGCAACCCUUAUCCUUAGUAGCCAGCAGUAAGAUGGGAACUCUAGGGAGACAGCCGGGGAUAACCCGGAGGAAGGCGGGGAUGACGUCAAAUCAUCAUGCCCCUUAUGGCCAGGGCUACACACGUGCUACAAUGGCGUAAACAAAGGGAAGCGAGACUGUGAAGUUAAGCAAAUCCCAGAAAUAACGUCCCAGUUCGGAUUGCAGUCUGCAACUCGACUGCAUGAAGCUGGAAUCGCUAGUAAUCGCAGAUCAGAAUGCUGCGGUGAAUACGUUCCCGGGUCUUGUACACACCGCCCGUCACACCAUGGGAGUUGGAAAUGCCCGAAGUCGGUGACCUAACUGAAAAGGAGGAGCCGCCGAAGGCAGGUCUGAUAACUGGGGUGAAGUCGUAACAAGGUACCC
rnacentral:rRNA from 1 species